GAUGAACGCUAGCGGCAGGCUUAACACAUGCAAGUCGAGGGGUAUAGGUUUUCGGACCUAGAGACCGGCGCACGGGUGCGUAACGCGUAUGCAAUCUACCUUUCACAGAGGGAUAGCCCAGAGAAAUUUGGAUUAAUACCUCAUAGUAUUACGAGAUGGCAUCAUUUUGUAAUUAAAGUCACAACGGUGAAAGAUGAGCAUGCGUCCCAUUAGCUAGUUGAUAAGGUAACGGCUUACCAAGGCUACGAUGGGUAGGGGUCGUGAGAGGGAGAUCCCCCACACUGGUACUGAGACACGGACCAGACUCCUACGGGAGGCAGCAGUGAGGAAUAUUGGACAAUGGGCGCAAGCCUGAUCCAGCCAUGCCGCGUGCAGGAUGACGGUCCUAUGGAUUGUAAACUGCUUUUGCACAGGAAGAAACAACGCUACGUGUAGCGUCUUGACGGUACUGUGAGAAUAAGGAUCGGCUAACUCCGUGCCAGCCGCCGCGGUAA
rnacentral:rRNA from 1 species